rnacentral:rRNA from 1 species
CUACAUUAGAUACCCGUGUACGUCCCAGCCGUAAACUAUGCGCGUUAGGUGUAUCGGUGACCACGAGUUACCGAGGUGCCGAAGGGAAACCGUGAAACGUGCCGCCUGGGAAGUACGGUCGCAAGGCUGAAACUUAAAGGAAUUGGCGGGGAGCACCACAACAGGUGGAGCCUGCGGUUUAAUUGGACUCAACGCCGGGAAGCUCACCGGAUAGGACAGCAGAAUGAUUGCCGGGCUGAAGACCCUGCAUGACUAGCUG